UACAAAUCCUUUUCUGUUAAAUGAUUUAAAAGAGAUUUAGAAAAGAAAAAUUAUUAUUACAAAAAAAAAAUUACAGUUUCUUUUUAGGCUUUUAGAAAAAGAAAAGAACUAUUACAAUAUUUUAUAAUAAAACCUAUUAAUUAUUUAUUUCCAGUCAACAUGAAAUGAUUUUUUUUAAAAUAAUAUUUUUACAAUUUGUUUUUAAUAUCACUCUUAUUUUAACAAUUUAUCUUUGUUAAAGACAUGUAUUCCUACUCUACAUAUAUAAAUAAAUAAAUAUUAAAAACCCUAUCUAAAAAUGUGAAACUUCUUUUUCGAAUUUUUUUUAACAUUUAAAAAAUGGAGUUUUCACAUUUAUUUUUCCAAAAAUAUUUUAAAAGUUAAUAUUUUAAAUUUUGUAAUCUAAAUCUUAAAUUCUAAACCCUAAAUGUAUAUUAUUUAACCAUAAAGAUACAAAUUUUGUCUUUUUUUUGAUAAUCAAUUUAAAAUUUCAACAAAAAAAAUGUAAAUCAUGUAAUAUGUAAAUCAAACGGUAUUUAUUCUAUAUUCAUGUUUGUAAAUGCAGAACAAAAGAAAAUCACUAUAGUAUGCACGCUUAUUAAAAAUUUAAUAAAUGUUUAUAAUUUAAUUUAUUUUUAACAUUAUUAUACAUUUAGUAUUUGCAUGUUAAUAAUUGUUCUGCAUGUCCAAAGGAAAAAAGAUAUGUCGUGAAGCAAAUAAUCAAUCUUUGCUUUGACUAUUUUUUAAUUAGCUAAAAACCUUUCUUUUUUUGUACUAUUAGUUAAAUACAUUUUAUGCUUAGGUUAAUUAUUAUAAUAUAUAUAAGAAAAACUGAAAUUAAAUAUAUAACAAUAAAGAUUAGAUGUGACAAGUAUUCAUUUGUUAAGACAAUAUUAUCCUUUCCGCAAGUGAAUGUGUAAUACAUGCAUUACAAAAAAAAAUUUGAUUAUACACUGUAAAAUAUAUAGUAUUCUAUUUGUAUAUAUAAAUAGAACGGUGUAUGUGAAUAUAACAUAUCUAUACUAAUAAAGUAGCUCAGAAAGGCUCCGGGUGAAGCCACGUCAGCAGACCCUGUUUGUUUUGUUGACACGUGUCGAAGGGAGAGGGGAUUUCGUUUUUUCCGCGUGAAACUUUGAUUCAGGAAAGGGAUUUCGUUUUUGAUUUAUUGGGCUUUAAUGAUAUCCCAAGCCCGUUUGUGGUUAAGGUUUGGUGUUUCUUUGAGAUUGCGAUCUUCGCCGUCCUCUUUCCAUCGUCUCCGAUUUCGGCUCCUCACUGUAACGUAUUGCUUCUCAUUGAAAUUGAUCUUUAAUUUGGUCAUCAAGCUUUACCCCACCUCUCUUCCCACUCCAUCUCAUUUACUCUCAUUGACGAUCCGCAUUUGUAACAGAUCGAAGGUGUCGCUAUAAAUAAGUGUGUCUUGGAACGAUGAGGAUCUACAGCUUUGAGAUUUAUAGCUUUUGUCGUCAAUGGAUUCCGACGUGGUGGAGAUUGCUCCUCCUGCAUUUGCUUUGGGUUCUACAACUCUGGAAAUCCAAAAAGAAACAGAGCUCCUCAAACUCGAGUGUAAGCUUCCCUGGAGGUAAUGUGAUUAUAGAUCGGAAUGGCAUAAGAACAGAUGCGGUAGAGUUCCCAAGUUUAGCAACCAGUGG